UACGGAGGGGGCUAGCGUUGUUCGGAAUUACUGGGCGUAAAGCGCGCGUAGGCGGACCUGCAAGUCGGGGGGUGAAAGCCCGAGGCUCAACCUCGGAACUGCCUUCGAUACUGCGGGUCUCGAGUCCGGGAGAGGUGAGUGGAAUUCCUAGUGUAGAGGUGAAAAUUCGUAGAUAUUAGGAAGAACACCAGUGGCGAAGGCGGCUCACUGGCCCGGUACUGACGCUGAGGCGCGAAAGCGUGGGGAGCAAACAGG
rnacentral:rRNA from 1 species